GAUGAAGAACGUAGCGAAAUGCGAUAAGUAAUGUGAAUUGCAGAAUUUUGUGAAUCAUCGAAUCUUUGAACGCACAUUGCACCUUUUGGUAUUCCGAAAGGUAUGCUUGUUCGAGCGUCGUUUAAACUCUAUCAAUUUAAAUAUUGAUGUAUUGAGAUUUGAAUAUUUCUUUUUUUGUAGAAAUGUUCUUCUCCAAAAUGAUUGAAGCGACUCAGGAAUCUGAUUGAUAUUGAACGCAUUAAAGUUUUACUACUACGUACAAAGACAAUCAUCCUGGGGCAGCCAGAUUCUUUUAAACAAACCAUACCGGUCUAGAAAUAGAAAGGUAUACUCUUUUUUUAUUAUCGACCUCGAAUCAAGUAGGAUUACCCGCUGAACUUAAGCAUAUCAAUAAGCGGAGGA
rnacentral:misc_RNA from 1 species